CUUCUUGUUAUUGAAGAAACAAGUAAGGUUUUCACUGACAUGGUGAGACCUCCUCUUGCAUGUUAUCUUUUCCAGGUAACACAGGAUGCAGAGGGGGACAAGCGAUGCUGUGCUCAGCUGUGGGAGCAGGCACUUCCUGGCAGGCUCCAGGACACACGUGCUCUGGUCAAACCAGGUUAGAAGCAGCAGAAGAUCUGGGAAAACACUUUGGGAGCCCCAUUGCUCCUCACCUGUGAUUAGUAACUGUAAUGAUGAGCAAUCACCACCCCAAGGUUCUUCAAGUAAAUGCCCUGCCUUCCACUAAGCUGAAAUUGCCUGGUACUGUAUAAACAUCCUUCAGACAGCAAAAUGUGCCCAAAACACUUGAGUCAACUGACAGAAAUAGUCUCACUUCAAAUGAUGUUCAUCGGUGGUUGCCUUAGGGACACAUCCCACCACUGGCAGGCAUAUGGGGAGCAAUCCGGCUGCCACAGGCCCAGUGAGGACAGCAGCACCCAGCCCAGGAUGGGGGACUGCAGCCUUGGUGCCAUCUGCCCAAGGUCAAGGUCAGUGACUCUUCAGCAGUGCUACUGAGCAAGGGGUAUUUUGUAAGACCUCACUGUGGGAAGGAAAGGGAC
rnacentral:lncRNA from 1 species